GACGAACGCUGGCGGCGUGCCUAAUACAUGCAAGUCGAGCGAAUCAAUAGGAGCUUGCUCCUGUUGGUUAGCGGCGGACGGGUGAGUAACACGUGGGCAACCUGCCUGUAAGACUGGGAUAACACCGGGAAACCGGUGCUAAUACCGGAUAAUCCUUUUCCUCUCAUGAGGGAAAGCUGAAAGUCGGUUUCGGCUGACACUUACAGAUGGGCCCGCGGCGCAUUAGCUAGUUGGUGAGGUAACGGCUCACCAAGGCGACGAUGCGUAGCCGACCUGGGAGGGGGAUCGGCCAAACUGGGACGGAGAAACGGCCCAUACUCCUACGGGAGGCAGGAGGAGGGAAUCUGCCACAAAGGACGAGAGUCUGAUGGAGCAACGCCGCGUGGGCGAUGGAGGCCUUCGGGUCGUAAAGCUCUGUUGUUAGGGAAGAACAAGUACCGGAGUAACUGCCGGUGCCUUGACGGUACCUAACCAGAAAGCCACGGCUAACUACGUGCCAGCCGCCGCCGUAACAC
rnacentral:rRNA from 1 species